rfam:Gossypium hirsutum cultivar TM-1 chromosome 14, whole genome shotgun sequence
UGUUUAAAAUUUCGUUCUUUUUUGCUAUUAAAAACUAGCGUGGCAAAUAGAAUAACUAGACAGUAACACUUGGCAUGUCAUGUGUACCUUAUUCUGACGUACCAAGACCAGUUCUUAACAGCAAAAAUGGAUGGAAUUUUUAACA